rnacentral:lncRNA from 1 species
AGGUAUUCAUUCGAUUGUCUUUUAGUUACAAGCACGAAUUUACAUAUAUCAAAUAUACUAGAAUUAAUCAUUAUUUCAUGUGGGACGAUAACUCUUUUAUCACGAUUAUUACUUGUACAACGAACCCGUACGCUUGCGAAAUUUGAUGAACAUUUACCAAAUCCAGUGGAGCCAUCAAUCCACGCCACAUUACGAACAGAAGCUACAACUUCUACAACACCUAUAAAAUAAACCCAUGACAAAAUCUUCUAUUUUGGCAAGUUGAAUUGUGCAAAUCUUUCCCCUCCAGAAAAUCUGGUAUUUUUGCUAAUUGGGUUCUGAAAGGCCUAUUUGCAAUGGUUUUGAGGUAAGAUGAAGAAAACAAAUGUGUUUUGAAGUUAGUUCGAAAAAAGGAAUUCUGGGUUUCGGCAGAUUAAGUUGGGGGGAAAGAGGAUGGAACGGUAGAAGAGAGAUUGUCAUUUUGUCAAGCUCAAAGUGUCAAUGGAAUGUGGUGUGUGCAUACAUAUUUGCUUGUACAGUGGGUGAAUGUUUUUCAGUGCCUGGUUCAGACCGUACAUUGGUCAAAAGUUUUAGUGAAGAAAUUGGUC